UAUGCCUACGGGACGCAGCAGUGGGGAAUAUUGCACAAUGGGGGAAACCCUGAUGCAGCGACGCCGCGUGAGUGAAGAAGUAUUUCGGUAUGUAAAGCUCUAUCAGCAGGGAAGAAAAAAGACGGUACCUGACUAAGAAGCCCCGGCUAACUACGUGACAGCAGCCGCGGUAAUACGUAGGGGGCAAGCGUUAUACGGAUUUACUGGGGGUAAAGGGAGCGUAGACGGUAUGG
rnacentral:rRNA from 1 species